GAUGAACGCUGGCGGCGUGCCUAAUACAUGCAAGUCGAGCGAACGGACGAGAAGCUUGCUUCUCUGAUGUUAGCGGCGGACGGGUGUGAAACACGUGUAUAAUCCACUUAUAAGACUGGGAUAACUUCGGGACACCGGAGCUUAUACCGGAUGAUAUUUUGCACCGUAUGGUUCAAAAGUGAAAGUCGGUCUUGCUGUCACUACUAGAUGGUUCCGGGCUGGAUUAGCUAGUUGGUAGGGUAACGGCUUACCAAGGCAACGAUGCAUAGCCGAGCUGAGAGGCGGAUCGCCCACACGAGAGCGUGAACAGCGUCCAUACUCCUGCGGGAGGCAGCAGUAGCGAAUGGGCGGCAGUGGGCGGGAGCCUUACGGAGCAGGCGCGCGUGAGAGAUGAAGAUCUUCGGAUCGGGAAACUCUGUUAUUGGGGAAAAACAGAUGUGGAAGGAACUGUGCACAUCUUGACGGUACCUGGUCAAAAAGCCACGGCUAACUACGUG
rnacentral:rRNA from 1 species